UAUUCUUCCAUUAAACCUCAAAGCCCUAUUAUACUCAUCAAUGGAAAAUAUCAAACUAUUCAAUGGUUUUGCAAAAUAGUCCCCUCAUUAGAUAAAUUAAGCAACAACGAUCCCGACAAUAUAAAAAUAAUUAAAAACGGGACUAGAAAUGCCUACCAUGCAUUAGCUGAAAGUUGGAAGCUUCUUCCAUGGCUUCUCAAGCCUUCAUAUUCGGCUGGUAAAAAGAGAAUGAAAAAGAUGACACCUUGAUUCUUUUAUUAUAUUCAUUUUAUUAUUAUUAUUAACCAAUUUACAAUAUUAACCUUUAUACACUUUAUUUAUUACACCAAAUGCCAAGCCAUCAUAUCCCACUAUCUCUUUAAUGGGCUAAUUACCAAAUAAGGACUUCUACUUUUAAGUUCUAUAUCUAUUUAAUACCUUUAGGUUAUAGAACACAACUUUUGCACUUUACACAAUUUAGUCCUUUAUGUUUAAUUAACUAUCGAAACGAUAAAAUUUUUCAACGAAACUUUAAUACCAUCUUAUUGCCACUACUUAAAUAUUUAUAAAAAUAUUUAAGACUCGGUUUAUAGAAACAAGGUCCCAAUACCUCAUUUUCUAAACCCACUUGACCUUAGGUCAUACCACUUAAACUCAAUAGAUCGCUUAUAAAACAAAAAUCACAAUAUCAAAAACAUUUUUAAAAUCGCAAUUAACUCGUAAAUAUUAAAUAUAAUAUUUACCAACCUACUCGUUCGGAUUUGGUGGCCCCGAAACCACUAUUUCGAUCAACCCUAAAAAAAUGGGCUGUUACAACUCUCCCCCCUUAGGGAUUUUCGUCCCCGAAAAUCUUGCCAGAGAAUAAAUUAGUGAUUUUCUUUCACCAACCUCAACAAUUUCUCACCUAGCCUCAUAUUUCUCAACUUUUCAAUCUCAUGAGCUAAGAUUAUGAUCUACUCUUUGCUAUACAUCAUAACAAGCUGAGUUUCUACUUCUAUAUGAGAUACUAUAGAUAAAGGAUCUUAUUUGUAUCAUCACAUCAUAUAUAUAAAAAACACAUUACGGGUCUUCUCAAGUUUUGAUAAUAAUCUCAUUCAAUCCGAUGAACUGCGAACUCAACUUCUCUUUAUAGCUAAAUCUAGAAAUUCUAUUCCCACUAUAAUACCUUUACAAAUACUCAAUUUUCUAAUUAAAAAUUCAAUGCUUUUACGCAUCAAGCCCACAUAUAUUUUCUGCAAAUCUGAAACUGUUUUUAGACGGUCAUGAAUUACUUUCAUUUCCCUUCAGUCUUUCCAAUCACAUCGACCCUGAAAUUCUUUUUAUAAAAAUUCAAUUCAAUACAACGAAGUUCAGUAAUUGCAACCAUACCACACUCAUACAAUGCUAUCUUAACAUUCAUCUCAUAACUAUUAUUAUUAUAUGCAAACUUAACCAACAAUAAAUGUCUUUCUCGGUUGCUUUCAAGUUCUAGAACACAGUGUUACAAAGUAAUUCCAUACCCAAAGCUCAUUGUAGUUUAUUUUAGUAACACGAUAUAAUCUUCGUGUCUCCAUUUGAACAAUGAAAACUAGCACUCUUUUAGUACUCCCCGUACGGACAGAUAAUUACCACUGUGCUAGAUGUCACAAUUGUUGUAAAAUCUCUGGAUUUCUCAAUACACGAACUCUAUCUCAACAUAACGAACAAUUGUAGGUUCCAAUCUGACAUUCUAAAUUAGAAAUCAAUUUACGUUGUACCCUUUUUAACUUGUAAUUCACUGACACACCUCUUAACCUCACAAAUUUGCUAAUUAAACAUCAAUUUAGUUUCUAGCUCAGCCAAUAACUACUCAUCAUUUGAUAAGAUUAAUCACAUGAUUAUCGGCCGUAAAACACAUAAAGAUUCUCGCUCAGAACCCCAAAGACUAUAAUCAUUUAUCCAGAUUGAUAAUCAAUCACUGACUCAUAAUCUUUCAACAGUUCAAACCAACUUUAAUUCUUGUGUCGAAUAACUCUUCACCUGAGAACUGACGCUUCAAUUAACAAUUUCUUCAACUGUUUACCACUUUAUUGAUAAUUAUCACAUCAUUCAGACUUCCCAAUCGCGAUCUAUAAGAACAUUUCUCAAUAAAAUUGUUCUGAUGGAUAUAAUUCUGUAUCAUAUCUUCUAGAAUAUGAAUCAUGCAUUUAGAAUAUUCAUCUAUUUAUCCGUGAACAUUCAAACUUUAUUUCCACCCUGUGGAUAGAUUCAGAUACAAGUAACUCGAUUAAUACUUCAAGCAAUUAAUCUAAUCAAACUAGACAACUGAAUCGAUCUCGACUGUCAAGUAAUAACUUUUCAAUUAUUAAUCAAUGAAGCUUUGAACCAUACUGAAGCCACAACCAUCAGAUAAUUUAAAAUCAUAGUGCCAUAAUAAGGCUGACAUCUCAACCGUAUAGAUAUAUAAUGUCCCAAUUAUCAAUAAUGCAUUUUGAACAUAAGAGAAAUUGAAAUAUAGUUACAGUCAUUCAAUAGAUAUUUUUCACAGAUAACCAUAUAGAAUCAUAAGAAAGCAGAGAUACUGUAAUUCUCGAAUAUAUCACUAUACUAAUCUUUUUUAAGAAAGCAGCCAUAUCAGAUGACAGAUAUCUCAAUGAUGUUUCAGAGGAAAUCCAGAAGUAAAGCAUCACUCAUAUGCACCGGAAUCAACAGUAAUAGAAACAAUAUAAUCUUCAUGUAUACUAAGCAGAUCAACAACCAGUAGGAGCAGAAUACCAACAUCACACAGAUUUAAUCGUCGAUCUUUUCUUUCAAUAAAAUGAAAUAGAAUACCAGAGAAAGAUAUAAUAAUGCUGAUUGUAACCCGAACAGCCCAACAAUGCUUUCAUAUAUCAAUAUAUAUAGAUAACGUUCUCAUAUGAUAAGAAUUUCAUCUGAAAAUAUAUAGCUUCACAUACCUCUGAGGAUAAUUGAACACAUAGAAUACCUAGAAGAAUUCUCGUAAACCAUUCAAUUGUUGUGCUCAAAUAUCUUUAUAAUUCAAAUAUGAUUCUACUGUCUAUCUCUGACAUCACUAAUUUCUCAUUAUCCCAACACUAACGGAGGCCAAUUCAGAAGAACUUCCAGUUAAUAUAUUCUUUAGAUAUCAUACCUGAAUAUUUGGUUUCAUCUAAUCCAACUUUUCUUUUAACAGUGACUUUGCAUAUUACAAAUGGCCUUCAACACGAUCCAAUAUCUUUUCUGUUACUGUCUUCACUUGCGGACUCAUUCUCUUAUCUGAUCACAAUACUAAUCCUUCAAUCACGAGACUCUGUCAUUCCGCACUUGUAAGCUUAUUUAAGCCAUAUAGUACGGAUCUCAUUAUAAUGCUUUACCAAUGAGGGGGUGAGGGUUGUAAAGCCAACAAUUUUAACUCUUACGUAAGCAUGCACAUCACACAUACUAUUAUGAACGAACAGUUCAUUACUGAUUCCGCAUUCUCAAACAUCUAGCAAUCAUUUACUUAUGAUCACUUGGUACUUAACACAUUUCUCAUACGCUAAAUCAAAUCAUAAAUUCCAAAUCAAAAUAUUCACACAACAAUCAUAUACCCAACAUCACAACUCAUAUACUCAUAUAAUUAUAACAUUUAUCAAUAGCAGAAUAUCAUGCAUUCUGAUUCAUACCUUUUUAUGAGUUUCAACUCAUCCCCAACACAUUUUCACUCAAAUGUUUGAGUAUAACAUUCUGUACUAUCAGAAUUAGCUCAGUUGGAAAGCAUAUAUGUCUUAUGAAAAAGACACAGAAUAAGCUUUGAAAGCUUAGUAAGCCUUAAGCAAAUAAAUCAUUUCAAUGAUUAUGAAAAUUUCAUAUCACUAAUCCGAAUUGAAAAAUAAUCUCAAUUGCAUAUACAUUCAUAGUACUCUUAAGUUCAUAUAACCUUAUUAAAUAGCUUCACUUAUUUAUAUUUACUAAUAACUUAUGACUAUGAUUUUAAAUUCGUGUGAUAACUGUCAAUUCAUUCGUAUGAACAAAACUUGCACAUAUCCAAUACAUACCAACCAAAACAUGUCAUAUUUUUCCUUGUUUGAUUCAUGGAACCACAAGGUCACAUGUCAAGCACAUAUAGCAUAUAUUUAUCUGUUAUUUAUCAUGUCUCAUUUUCACAUGGACUACAUACAUCUGACCAAGUUUAUUCAAUAUCGAUGCCACUGUCCCAGACAGGGUCUUACACGAAUCAUAAGUGAUGCCAGUGUCCCAGACACGUUCUUAUACACUACUUCAAAUCAAUGCCUUCAUCUCGGACGAGGUCUUACAUGAUCUCAUUUCACACACUUAGUGCCCCAACAAUCGAUCUUACACACACAGUGCUUGGUUACGGAACUCGCACACACAGUGCCUCAACAACCGAUCUCACACACACAGUGCUCGGUUACGGAACUCGCACACACAGUGCCUCAAUAACCGAUCUCGCACACACAGUGCUUGGUUAUGGAACUCGCACACACAGUGCCUCAACAACCGAUCUCGCACACACAGUGCUCGGUUACAGAACUCACACACACACAGUGCCUAUGUUCAUUUAUUGUUGCACAUUGAAGUGACUUAACCAAGUCUAUAAAACAUCACAUAUGUGCACUUUGAACAUAUAAUUUCAUUUAUCUUUGGAUUCAUAUAUUCAAGAAGACUUCAACAUUUCAGAGCCAACUUUAAUUUAAUCAAAUCAGUAGAGAACACAAUUUCAUUUGAACAUCUGAGUACAUAUUCUAUACUAUUAAAAUUAGCUUGAUUGAAAAACAUAUCUGUCCUAUUCAAAUAAUUUUCGUCAGAGUUAGGAGAUAUCACACUAUCGCAGGUCAAAUAUGGCAUGUACAGCUAUACUCACAUACGCCAUGGUAGUCCUAGAACCAACUAAACUAUGGCUCUGAUACCAAUAAAAUGUAACACCCUUCGCCCGUAUCCCUCGCCGGAACAAGGUUCGAGGUGCUACCAGGUUUAAACUCAUCCAUUUAUAUAAAACCAGACCGUAAAAAUUUUUGAUCAAUUUUAAACUUUUCAUACACACGUAUAUUAUCCUUUAAUCGGGCUUACAAGGCCCAAAAUAUUCAUGAGGCAUUAUUAAAUAUUUACCAAUAUCUUAGUCUUGUAUCAGUUACUUACUCAACUUUACAACCCUAUACAUGCCAUAGACUCGAAAUACUAAGAUUUACUUACACCGAUAGCGUAGACUUGACAAUGUGAUAAUAUCUCUGACGGCCUCCAACCCGAGCUAACCUGGCAACCCUAGGGAAUAUGGGAAAGAAAAGGGGAGUAAGCUUUACACUUAUUAAGUUCAUAAGAAAACAAUAAGCAACUCAUUAACAAGUUUUAUCAAUGUUUACAACAUAAUCACAAAUUCACUACAAGUUGUCUUCCUGAGUAAUAGUCACUAAAUUAUUUAUAACUGGAGCUACAAAACUCCAAAUCAAUUGCCGUUAAUUUUCCCUGAAAAUAGACUCAUAUAUCUUCCAUCCAUAAAAUUUUCAGAAUUUUAGGUUUGGCCAAUCAAUACCAAAUUUUUCUUAAAGUUUCCCCUGUUUCACUGUUUGACUAAUCUGACCACUCUUCACUACGAAUCAAAUUUCUCAUUGUACAGAAUUUAAAAUAUGUUCUAUUUGAUUUCAUUUGAAAGUCUAAGCAUAUAAAUUUUAUCUUAUAACCAUUUUUGUAUAAAUUAUAAUGAUUUUCUAAAAACAGAACAGGGGACCCCAAAGUCAUUUGACUCUAUCCCACGCCACUUCAAAUAUCUCAUUAUCAGAAAUUCUUUUGCUUACAUGGUUUGUUUUAUAAGAAACUAGAUUCAUUAAGCUUUAAUUACAUAAUUUAUUCAUCUUCUAACUCAAUUCCAACAAUUUAUGGUGAUUUUCCAAAAUCACAUUACUGCUGCUGUCCCAAACAGAUUUAUUACAAAUUUACUCUUUCACACAUUCUUUGCAUUCAGAUUAUUUAAACAUGUAUAUCACCAAUCAAUUUCAUCACAUAUCUAUAAUUUCACUCAAGCAUAAUCUCAAUACAAUACAUCAUGCUCAAUGAUUCGUACACAACCGUUAAAAUUAGCAAUUAUAAAAUGAUUCCGCACAUAGUCCACCCUUAUCAAUAAUUUACGAUGGUUUUGCCCUUACUCACAUAUAUGACAUAGGAAUUUUCACCUAUGCUUCUCAUUUCACACUCAUGAUUCAAUUCCAAUCGAUCUAACAUGCAUUAGAAUAUAUCACAUACCUGGCCAACUUAAUGCAUUGAACAAAUUCAAUUGCCGAUUUAACACAAGGUCUCAUAGUCUUAGACUUUUAUCAAAUCACCGACAUUUAGCCUGCUAGGUUUUAAACCCGAUAAUAUUAUUCACCAGCUUAAAGCUUGCUAGGCUCAAAGCCCAAAUAUCACCAUUAUAAAGUCGUCUCAUAAACAAUUCAUAUAAUAUAGCAUGUAUACCUGUUCACUUUGCUCUAUUUAAUCAUUCAAUCACAAUUUAUAAUUUCCCUUUGAAUCAUUCGAUAUUUUGCACAGUAAGUGACAUUCUCAAUGUCUCACACACUAGGUGUCAUUCUCAAUAUUUCAUUCACUGAGUACCAUAUUUGAUUGCCCCGCACACUAAGUGCCACAUUUUGUCGAUAUGUCGUCAGACAUUAAAAUAUUCACGUAUAUACAAUUUAUACAAUAUUAAAAAGCAUUAGAAACAUCAAUUUAACAAUGCUUAUUGCAUACGAACUUACCUGGCUAAAUUGUAGAGAUACCAAAGUUCAGGGGCAUUUUGGUAAUUUUCUCAUUUUUCUCGAUUUUCCACCCGAUCUUGAUCUAAAUUAAUAAUUUCAUUCAGUAUAUUAAUUUAGACAUUAAAACACCUCAUUUCAUACAAUUUGGUCAUUUUUGUCAUUUUUACAAAAUUACCCCUAAAGUUUUACUUUUAUUCAUUUUAGUCCGUGAGCUCAAAACAUGCAAAUUAACCAUUUUUAACCAUAAUUAAGCUUAGCCAAAUGUUCAUGGUAUCAAAACAUGCAAAUUAUAAUUUUUCCCCUAAUAUUUCAACUUCUUUACAAUUUAGUCCCUAUAUCAUAAAAAUGCAAAUUCAUGAAAUUGAGUAAAAUUCUACUAUAGACGAAUAUCACUAGUGUCUCUAGCAGCCCACACAUUUCAUUUAUUUGACAUUUUAACCACAAAUUUUUUACAUUUAUCAAUUUAGCCCUUAAUUGUCAAUUUCACAAAAAUUCACUUAACAAAAAGUGUUUAACUAUCAACAGGGACUCAUAUUCUUCCAUUAAACUUCAAAUCUCGAUUAUACUCAUCAAUGGCAAAUAUCAAACUAUUCAAUGGUUUUGCAAAAUAGUCCCCUCAUUAGAUAGAUUAAGCAACAACGAUCCCGAAAAUAUAAAAAUAAUUAAAAACAAGACUAGAAAUGCCUACCAUGCAUUAGCUGAAAGUUGGAAGCUUCUUCCAUGGCUUCUCAAGCCUUCAUAUUCGGCUGGUAAAAAGAGAAUGAAAAAGAUGACACCUUGAUUCUUUUAUUAUAUUCAUUUUAUUAUUAUUUUUAACCAAUUUACAAUAUUAACCUUUAUACACUUUAUUUAUUACACCAAAUGCCAAGCCAUCAUAUCCCACUAUCUCUUUAAUGGGCUAAUUACCAAAUAAGGACUUCUACUUUUAAGUUCUAUAUCUAUUUAAUACCUUUAG
rnacentral:lncRNA from 1 species